AUACGUAGGGUGCGAGCGUUAAUCGGAAUUACUGGGCGUAAAGCGUGCGCAGGUGGUUUUGUAAGUCAGAUGUGAAAUCCCCGGGCUUAACCUGGGAACUGCGUUUGAAACUGCAAGGCUAGAGUGUGGCAGAGGGGGGUGGAAUUCCGCGUGUAGCAGUGAAAUGCGUAGAGAUGCGGAGGAACACCGAUGGCGAAGGCAGCCCCCUGGGUCAGCACUGACGCUCAGGCACGAAAGCAUGGGGAGCAAACAGGAUUAGAAACCCGGGUAGUCC
rnacentral:rRNA from 1 species